rnacentral:misc_RNA from 1 species
GAUGAAGAACGCAGCGAAAUGCGAUAACUAAUGUGAAUUGCAGAAUUCAGUGAAUCAUCGAGUCUUUGAACGCACAUUGCGCCCCCUGGUAUUCCGGGGGGCAUGCCUGUCCGAGCGUCAUUGCUGCCCUCAAGCACGGCUUGUGUGUUGGGCCCCCGUCCCCGGUUUCCCCCGGGGACGGGCCCGAAAGGCAGCGGCGGCACCGCGUCCGGUCCUCGAGCGUAUGGGGCUUUGUCACCCGCUCUGUAGGCCCGGCCGGCGCCAGCCGACACCCAACUUUAUUUCUAAGGUUGACCUCGGAUCAGGUAGGGAUACCCGCUGAACUUAAGCAUAUCAAUAAGCGGAGGA